rnacentral:rRNA from 1 species
GCUUACCAUGCAGUCGAACGGUUGUAGCAAUACAGCAGUGGCGCACGGGUGAGUAACGCGUGGCUAUCUGCCUUUUGGUUCGGAAUAACUCCGGGAAACUGGAGCUAAUACCGGAUGGUUCCUACGGGAUAAAGAUUUAUCGCCAAAAGAUGAGUCCGCGUACGAUUAGCUAGUUGGUGAGGUAAUGGCUCACCAAGGCGACGAUCGUUAGCUGGUCUGAGAGGACGAUCAGCCACACUGGGACUGAGACACGGCCCAGACUCCUACGGGAGGCAGCAGUGGGGAAUAUUGGACAAUGGGGGCAACCCUGAUCCAGCCAUGCCGCGUGAGUGAUGAAGGCCUUCGGGUUGUAAAGCUCUUUUGGCGGGGACGAUGAUGACGGUACCCGCAGAAUAAGCCCCGGCUAACUUCGUGCCAGCAGCCGCGGUAAGACGAAGGGGGCUAGCGUUGUUCGGAAUUACUGGGCGUAAAGCGAGUGUAGGUGGUUGUCAUAGUCAGGUGUGAAAGCCUUGAGCUCAACUCAAGAAAUGCACUUGAUACUGGGCGACUAGAGGACCGGAGAGGAUAGUGGAAUU